UAUGGUCAUACCACCCUGAACAUGCCCGAUUUCAUCUGAUCCCAGAAGCUAAGCAGGGUUGGGCCGGAUUAGUACUUGGGUGGCAGAAAAGGCUGGGGGGCUGAGCAAUCUGACAAAUCCAUGA
ensembl:rRNA 5S_rRNA 5S ribosomal RNA